UCCCUUGAUGUUAACAUCUACUGUAGACUGACAUCGCUGCAGCCAAUCACUGGCUAUGGUGGUGACCGGCUUUCCUUAAGAGAGAUGGUCACAUGACACAAGGGGAUCCAGUCUCCGAAGAGCCCCCCCCACACACACACCUUCCUGCACUGCCCCUUUUAAUGUUUCGUGACUUAUUUGUGAUGGAUGGUGGCCAGUAGCAGUCAUCGGCUUGCAGGGGUGGUCCGGGUGGGACAGCUACUUUUUUGCAGCAGACUGCUCCACUUAUACGGUAUAAAGUGAUCGGUCAUACCGGGGAAUGUCCCACUGUUACUCUUUUGCUUGCAAAGUUAAGAAGCUCAAGGUGUUUGGGACACAGAAGAACCAACAUAUCAACCACUGGAUGGUGGACUAUGUGAGAUCCAGACUGAGUUAUGUGACGACUGGUCUGGAAAGUACACUUCUAGGUUUAGAGGGGUUGUCCAGGAUUUUGUUUUUGACAGCCUAUCUUCAGGAAACAUCUGGUUGUCAGGUUCCGACACCCUGCACCCUCACAGCUAUGCACUGGAGCAGUGCCGCAUUAACCAGCGCCGUCCAUUGCACGAUGGAUGGAGCUUUUUAGUUGCGGCAGAGACGUCCUGCACCAGAGAUACUCUGAAACAGCUGAUGGGUGGGUGUCGGACCCCCACCGAUCUGAUAUCAAUGGCCUAUCCUGAGGAGCUCUGCAUCAGUUAUGGUAUAUGGGGCAGAAGGAUGACCACCUCUACCUCCCACAUUGGGUUGCCCCCAGAUACUGUGUUCACACGUGGAUGUUGUAUGAUGGGGGUAACCCUGCCGCACUCUCCCGCAGCUCCUGACCGUAUCCAGCUCUCUGCUCUGCCUGCUUUAUAUCUGGAUCUGCUAUGAAAAUUUCCACUUCCAUGUCUCCCACUUCUACGCCCACCUGGGUUACCCCAAGGCCCAGCACGUGGUGGGGCAGAGGUACCUGAGAGGAGUCGGCGUCCACCAGGAUCCAGCAAUGGCUUCCUACUGGUUCAGCCGCGCCGGAGGCGACAACGGAACUCUGACCUUCAGCAGCUGAAUAAGCACAGAUACAAGAGCCGGCCCCUGCAAGAUCAGGGAGACCAAAUCACCGCGUCGUCCCCUUUCUGAUGCAGAUCUACAGUAUGGAAACCCUACAAACAGCUCCCCGUAUCUCAGCUUCCUGGACCUCUGUGAGGUGGUCUAUGUGACAGCGCUGCCCCCUCCUCCAGGAGCUGCACGCCGCCUGCGCCUAUAGACAUGUGUAUUACAGUUGGCGGGUACAUGAGGUGCAGUUAAUGUGCCAAUGUCCCCAGAUGAUACUGGUAGAAGAAUUGGAAAAUCCGGGUGUGGAGAACAUUAGAGCGAAGUCCUGAGAUAAAAAGUUGCAGAUUAACAGAAUCUGCACCAAGUGCUGCCUAAGGGAGUUAUCUGACAAGAGGCUGACUCAGCACUGACCUCUGACCUCAGCCACCUAUGACAUCACUGCACCAUCAGAGUAUACCAGUCACCUAUGACAUCACUGCCCCAUCAGAGUA